rnacentral:rRNA from 1 species
UACAGAGGUCCCAAGCGUUGUUCGGAUUCAUUGGGCGUAAAGGGUGCGUAGGCGGCGCGGUAAGUCGGGUGUGAAAUCUCGGAGCUUAACUCCGAAACUGCAUUCGAUACUGCCGUGCUUGAGGACUGGAGAGGAGACUGGAAUUUACGGUGUAGCGGUGAAAUGCGUAGAUAUCAAGUGGAACACCAGUGGCGAAGGCGAGUCCCUGGACAACUCCUGACACUGAGGCACGAAAGCUAGGGGAGCAAACAGG